rnacentral:misc_RNA from 1 species
CGCACAUUGCGCCCUCUGGUAUUCCGGGGGGCAUGCCUGUUCGAGCGUCAUUACAACCCUCAAGCUCUGCUUGGUAUUGGGCGUCACCGCUUUGGUGCACCCUAAAAUCAGUGGCGGUGUCACCUGGCUCCUAGCGUAGUAAUACUUCUCGCUAUUGAGCUUAGGUGUAUGCUUGCCAUCAACCCCAAUUUCAAAGGUUGACCUCGGAUCAGGUAGGGAUACCCGCUGAACUUAA